rnacentral:rRNA from 1 species
CAGUCGCCGCGGGAAAACGGAGGGUGCUAGCGUUGUUCGGAAUCACUGGGCGUAAAGGGCGCGUAGGCGGCCUGUUAAGUCGGAUGUGAAAGCCCGGGGCUCAACCCCGGAACUGCAUCCGAGACUGGCAGGCUUGAGACCGGGAGAGGAGGGUGGAAUAUCCAGUGUAGAGGUGAAAUUCGUAGAUAUUGGAUGGAACACCGGUGGCGAAAGCGGCUCUCUGGCCCGGAUCUGACGCUGAGGCGCGAAAGCGUGGGGAGCAAACAGGAUUAGAUACCCCUGUAGUCCCUGUCUCUUAUAC